UACGUAGGGGGCAAGCGUUGUCCGGAAUUAUUGGGCGUAAAGCGCGUGUAGGCGGCCAGAUAGGUCUGCUGUGAAAACUCGAGGCUCAACUUCGAGAUGUCGGCGGAAACCAUCUGGCUAGAGUCCGGAAGAGGAGAGUGGAAUUCCUGGUGUAGCGGUGAAAUGCGCAGAUAUCAGGAAGAACACCCGUGGCUAAGGCGGCUCUCUAGUACGGUACUGACGCUGAGACGCGAAAGCGUGGGGAGCGAACAGG
rnacentral:rRNA from 1 species